CUUAAUGAUAUGAACAGGAAGCCGAAGAGGCAGGGAAAUAGUGAGGGUGAGAGAGAGAGAGAGAGAAAGAGAGAGAGAGAGAUAAAGGUAUACUAACACCCAAGUCCAAAAUGGACACAAUAAAUACAAAUUUGUGAAAAUUAUACCCAAUGUUACUGCAGCGUGCAUCCUGAGUUCUGUGUCUCCCUCGCAUAAGCAGAAAUUAACACCUGGCCAAAUAGAAAUUUUUCUUAGGCAAGGUUUAACAGGCUCAUGGCUAGAACACAGCAAGGGAGCAACCUACAAGAAAGAAAUCCCUGUGCUAACUCUUCAAAAGGUUUGAGCUUGUCAUUUGAAGGAAUCCAGAAAAGAAGCGAUGUGUAGGCAAAUAGUGGUGAGGAACAUAGCGCCUGCACCGUUCGAUAACAUGUUUCUUCAGGCAUGGUGUCUUUCAUUAGCAUGUUAAAAGUCUACAUCCUGAGUGUGGUUUGUAGUAUUAGAAUGAGGAAAAGCUCAUUGAAAAGUCAGCACUGGAGUGUCUCCUGUCCUCAGACGGCUGGAUCUGGUCUGAUUUUUUUUUUUUUUUUUUUUAUUAGUAACUAAACUAUAGACUUUAUUUAUAUUUUACCAAUUUUUUCACCAAUGUUCUCUUCCUGUGCCAGGACCUAGUCCUGGAUAUCACAUUGCAUUUUUUACUUCAUCUUUUUUUUUCUUUUUUUUUUUUUUUUUUUUUUAGGUACACACAUGGCAGUGUGCUUUCUUUUCUUCUCCCCUUCACCCACAUUUGGCUUUUCUCCCCAGUGGCAGUGUGCUUUCUUUUCUUCUCCCCUUCACCCACAUUUGGCUUUUCUCCCCAGGCUAUCCCUCCCCACCUCCCCCUCCCACUGGCCCUCCCCUUUUCCCCCCAAUAGACCCCAGUGUUUAGUACUCCCCUUUCUGUGUCCAUGUGUUCUCAUUUUUUAUCACCCACCUAUGAGUGAGAAUAUGCGGUGUUUCAUUUUCUGUUCUUGUGUCAGUUUGCUGAGGAUGAUGGUCUGAUUUUUAUCAGGAAUGGCAAUCUUGCUUGGAUGCUAGCAUCCUACUUUAGCAACCUUGGGAAGGAUCACUCAAGGACAUAACUGCUUAGGCUCUUCCUUUUAUGGGUAGGAAUUUAGCCUAGGCAGCUAAGUUAGGAGGUGGCAGCUCCCUGUUACAUGAUUUGGAUCAACUUAAGACAGAUAAGAAGGUUAGGGAGGAAAUAUGUCUGGUCAUAUGAGGCUCAUGGCAUCUUGGUUACCAUGUCUCUGAUCUGCCAAGACAGAGUUUCUUCUCUAUAUUGCCUCAGCAAGGGCCAUAAAAUGAUAUUUCAAGCCAAAUCUGAUAUAAACUAUAAAGCAUAGGAUGGUUUGUGCUGACAUCAAAGCUUUAUAUGCAUAGUCCACUGGUUAUAAAUCUACUUUCAGAUAAUCUCAUAUAAGUACCUUAAACCUUAUUAUGUUUUCUCUGUAUACCAUGUUAAAAAUUAUCCCCCAAAGUGGCAGUAAUUUGUUAAUUUUGUUAGGCCUUUUAAAUUGGACACCAUUAAACUCUAUUGAGAUGCUAAAUUCAAAUACAUUUUUUGUUUAGUUCUAUAUGUAAAAUAUAUUGUUUUCAAAUUUUAUGGCAUCCUAAUUUUGCUUAUUUUAUUUCCUAGAGUGUGCUUAGGGAAAAGUGUAUUUCGUACCCCUGUUAAUUAAUUAAUUUUAUGUCAUCUAAUAUUUUAGCAAAGUAGCAAGCCAUAGGAAAGAUUACCUAGUGGGACAUUUUUCAUUUUUCUUUAGUUAAAGAUAAAUUAUAUGACAAAAGGUUUUGGAACUAUUUUGUCCAUUACUAACACAUGGUAUUCAGACAAGAUGGAACAAUGGUAAUCACAUGUUAAAAAUUAAUUCAUUUUAAAGAAAUGAAUUUUCUCCAGAUAAUUCUUAUUAGAAAUUCACCCAUAAUUUCAUCACACGCUCUUGCUUUCAUGCCAGUUUUUAAAAUGUAUUAUUUCU
rnacentral:lncRNA from 13 species